rnacentral:rRNA from 1 species
UUGGCCUACGGGAGGCAGCAGUAGGGAAUCUUCCACAAUGGGCGAAAGCCUGAUGGAGCAACGCCGCGUGAGUGAAGAAGUAUCUCGGUACGUAAAGCUCUAUCAGCAGGGAAGAAAAUGACGGUACCUGACUAAGAAGCCCCGGCUAACUACGUGCCAGCAGCCGCGGUAAUACGUAGGGGGCAAGCGUUAUCCGGAUUUACUGGGUGUAAAGGGAGCGUAGACGGCAGCGCAAGUCUGGAGUGAAAUGCCGGGGCCCAACCCCGGAACUGCUUUGGAAACUGUGCAGCUCGAGUGCAGGAGAG